AUGCUCCUGGUGUUCCUCCCAGUGCUGGGGAUACACUUUCUCCUAAGAGAAGCCCAAGCUCAGUCAGUGACUCAGCCUGAUGCUCAUGUCACUGUCUCUGAAGAAACCUGUCUGCAGCUGAGAUGCAAGUUUUCCUCCCCUGGGGCACCUUAUCUGUUCUGGUAUGUCCAGUACCCAGGACAAGGGCUGCAGCUGCUCCUCAAGUACUAUUCAGGAGACCCAGUGAUUCAAAGAGUGAAUGGCUUUGAGGCUGAGUUCAACGAGAGUGAUUCUUCCUUCCACCUGCGGAAAGCCUCUGUGCACUGGAGCGACUCGGCUGUGUACUUCUGCGCUCUUAACACAGUGUGUGGGGCUGUAGGGGUAGCUGAACACAAACACCCAUGA